GGGCAAUGAACUUUAAGGGCUAUGGGUGACUUUUCAGGGGAGUCCCUGUAGAGUGAUCAAUUAUGUCUGAAGGUGUAAGUCAGGUUGUGUAGGUUCUCAUCCUGUUCUCCCUCUACUGGGAGAGGGUUAGGGUUAGGGAGGAACUGCCAUUUCGUUUCUCAGCAGGGAUUCAGGUGUUGUCUGUGCAUUGCCAAACUACUAAAAAUUUCAGACUAGGUAGAAAACACUGAUUUAGGUGUUUGGUAGCAUGAAGUUGUAUAGAGCAAAAAAUUCUCGGGUCUAGUUUGAAAUCAGUGUGGAACAUUAUAAGGGAGCUGCAUGUGGGUCAAAUUUGCAUUAAAGUUUUGACCACAAGAAAUGUAGUCUUAAGCCGCUUAGUCCUCUGUGGGCUGCAGCUGCAUCCGUCUUUCUCUCGAAUGGGUGGAAAGCCACACGUGAUAAAGUGUGGGGUCUCCACAGGGAUCUCAGUCCAGAUUCUUCUGCCUUAAGCUAAGUAACAUGGGUAAGGCUGGGUUAUUCCUGACUUAAUGUUUCCCCCCUUCUCAACUUUUACAUAUUGUAUUCAUAAGACCAUAAGAAUUUUAAAGAAUAAUUUUUAGGAGUUCUCUUUUGGCACAGAGCAGUAAGGACCUGGCAUUGUCACUGCAGUGGCUCAGGUUGCUACUGUGGUACAGGGUCAAUCCCUGACCCAGUUACUUCCACAUGCCACAGGCACAGCCAAAAGUAAUAAUAAUUUUUUUUUUUUUUUGGUCUUUUUAGGGCUGCACCCAUGGAGGUUCCCAGGCUAGGGCUCGAAUUGGAACUACAGCUGCUGGCCUGCACGACAGACACAGCAAUGAGGGAUCCAAGCCACAUCUGCAACCUACAUCACAGCUCACAGCAACGCUGGAUCCUUAACCACUGAGUAAGGCCAGGGAUAGAACCUGUGUCCUCAUGGAUACUAGUCAGAUUCAUUUCUGCUGAGCCAUGCUGGGAACUCCAAUAAUAAUAAUAAUUGUUUAAAAAGAAAUUUUUCCUUAAUUUUACCACCCAGUAUACAUCAAUUAUUUGGCUUUUCCAAGCUUUUCCAGACCCCUGUCUUCGGGCAUCCUUGUAAUAGCAUAGUUGUAAGUGUAGUGUAUCCUGAUGUCAUUUUAUUCUGGUUUUUACAAUAGCAUGAAAUUAAGUUUGGGGUGAGCUGGUGUGACAUGAAGGGUUGAAAGACAGUGUCUGUGUAUGGCUCUAUCCUCAGUCGAAUGAAUCCUUGUUGACAGAGGAGGGCAAUGGUCCAGAGGCAAACCUAAGAGUAACUUACAUGCUGGAGAGGCUUUUAGGAGCUUAUUACCUCAUCGUCCUGUCCCUGGUGCACUUCACUGGUAGCACAGAUGCUCUGUACUGGCUUUCCCCUCUUUUCUCCUGCCAAGUCCCUUUUGGCUCACCAGCAUGUCUUCUGCUGGGAUGUUGGGACAUGUUGGAAAGAGGAUCUUUUCAAUUUGAGCCAAUGGAAUGACUUUAAAUUCUGCCUGGAAACUUACAAGAACAUGUGAUAAAUCCCCUUCCUCUUUUUUUCAAUCAGCCACACAGCAAACGUACCUCCCUGGGGAAAGCAGCUGGACCUUCUCCUCGCCUCACUUCUGCUCUACCCCCAGCCCGGUCCAAAACACUAGCCUGUCUGCCUGAGCAGCAGGGAAUGGCCUUAGGCCUCUUUCCCAACCCGAGCUUUUCCUUUCUUCAUUACCAUGGAUAAGAGGCUCUGUCCUCCUGCCUGUUAGGCAACUCAUUUAUUUAUUGUCUUUUUAGGGCCGCACCAGCACCACAUGGAGGUUCCCAGGCUAGGGGUCAGAUCGGAACUACAGCUGCAAGCCUACGCCAGAGCCACAGCAAUGCAGGAUCCAAGCCGAGUCUGUGACCUACACCACAGCUCACGGCAACGUCAGAUCCUUAACCCACUGAGCGAGGCCGGGAAUUGAACCUUCGUCCUCAUAGAUACUAGUUAGGUUCAUUAACCAUUGAGCAACUCACGUCAUUACCAUCAGCCAUGUGCCGGGGCCUUUGAUAGACAUUCUCAUGUGUAAUCCAACAACAGGGGGACAUAGCUAUUUGCUCUGUUUUACUAAUGAGGAGACUGGAAGUUGGAAUUUAAGAACUGCGCCCAAGGACACAGACCCAGUGAGUGGCAGGGUCCAGAGCGGGCACACCUUACAUCCUGCCAUGUUUUCCAUGGGACCAGGCUUGCCUCUGGCCCUCUCUUUGACACCUCCCAGGUACUGUGACUAGAAGGAAAAUACUACCCAGGGUAUUUGUGUGCACACAGUGGCAUCCAUGGGCCAAGAAAGAGGUUUGUUGUCCUCAGCAGCUAGUUUUCUGGUGGUAACCACGGGCACUUAGCCCAUCCUAGGUGACUUAAUUGCUUCAUCAAAUUCCUGUUUGAUACUCUCUUGUGGUUCUUUCCUAAACCCAGCUGCCCAGGGUCACAACUUGGUGCCUGCCCUGGUGGCCGACUUUGCCCAGCUCCUGUCUCCACUCAUAACAAAUUCAUCCACUUCGAAAAAGUUUAUUGAACACUCACUACUUGCCAAGUCCUUUGCGAAGGGCUGUAUAUUCAUUCAAUGGAGACUGUUAAAUAAAUUAAAGCCAUGAUUCUCAACUAAGGGUUUCUGAAUCUUUAGAGAUGCCUGAUAAUUUUUUUGAAGCAUUCACUACAAUCUUUUUAAAAGUAUUUUGCCAGUUACUAAGAAAAUACUCUUCUUUCGCAACAGUAUUUACAACAGAAAGAUUUUGCAAUUAAUAUUUUCUUGAAUCAGUAAUACUCAAGACAUUCUUAAUGGAUGUACAGGGGAGUCAGAUAAGUUUUUUUCCUUUAAAAUGGUCCUAUAAAUGGGGUUCCCGUCGUGGCUCAGUGGUUAAUGAAUCCGACUAGAUACCUUGAGGUUGUGAGUUCGAUCCCUGCCCUUGCUCAGUGGGUUAAGGAUCCCACAUUGCCGUGAGCUGUGCUGUAGGUCAUAGACAAGGCCCAGAUACCUAGUUGCUGUGGUUGUCGUGUAGGUUGGCAGCUACAGCUCCAAUUUGAUCCCUAGCCUGAGAACCUCCAUAUGCUGUGGGUACGUCCCUAAAAAGACAAAAAAAAACCUACAUAAAUAAAUAAAAUGGCCCUAUACAUUUCUCAGGUGAAAAGGGCAGGGUUAAUUAUUUUCCCUUCUGCAGAAAUAUAUUUUAAAAUACUUUCUGAAGUAAAACCUAAACCAAUGGAAUAGCUCCCACCUGAAAUUUAGGGCCCCAGGACUGUGUCAGGGAAAGUGAGCCUCAGGGUCCCUUAUCACAACUUGAAAACCAGGUUCCUGCCUUUGGAGAAUCGGUGGGCAGCCUGGGCUGCUCUUGGAUCUUUCCCCAGCCAGUCAGGAUGGUCACUUUUACCUCUCAGCUCUGGGAGUGCGGUGCUCACCUCUGAUAGCUCCUCUGCUUCAUCUGAUGUUCGGAUGUCAGCAGGAGUGAAGUGUAUUCAGGAGAAACAUGGGCUGCAGUAGCACUGGAUCCAAUUACAUUAUCCAGCACCUUCUAUUGGUAUUAAAAUGUUUUCUUUUUCUGGGAUGGGGGCAGGUAAGGAAGUAGUGUGCAGACAACCUUCAACUACUGACAAAUGACAGUUAAGUAGGAAAAGAUGCGUAUAAAACAUUCAGGUAUAUAAUCUCUUAUCUGGGCAUGACCAUUGGUGUGUGUGUGUGUGUGUACCUUUUGCAUUUACCCUUAGAGGGCGGAGACCCUUGGUCGUUUGUUUCCUCCCUGCAGUUGGCUUUAUUAUUAUAGGCAUUUUAUUUAGUGAAGAACUGAAAUAAAUCAUACCCCCAAAGUGUAGAGUCUGAUAGGACCCAGAAUCAGCUAACUUAAGAUCCUAUUGUUUUUCCAUUGGACCAUGGCUGACUCCAUAGAUUUAUCCAUUUCUAUCAGUUCAGCAGGUAAUUGCAUGUACUAUUUGGCUGACGAUAAAAGUGUGGAGGUAGAGGUGUAAAGCAAGGCUUUAGGACCGUAAGUCCUUGGCAGUGAAGCCCUAGGAAAAAGAGGAGCAGAAAAGGCUCCUCCAGCCAGUUGCCAGGGACAAAGGGUAACUGAUGGGGUAAAUAAAACACGGACGCCACCAGGGUGCUCCUGUCAAAAAGAUGUUUAGUGAAGGUGGGAGCUUCAUUGCUUUGAUACAGAAAGCCUUUCAAAGGGCUGCUCAGGUUCCUUCAAGCUGAGCACCCACCAUCCACUCCAGGCUUCUCUAAGUUCUGGGCUUGGCAGUCCCCGGAGACUGGGUUCUGCUGGUGUGUGUUGUUUGGAAGUUUCCUUCCAAUGCAUGAGAACUCACUAACCAGCUCACCUGGGCUGGCUCUUGGGGUCGGUCCUCAGGACAGAUGGAGAUGACCAUUGUCCUUCUUUCCUUCCUUCCUUCCUUUUUUCCUUCCUUCCUUCCUUCCUUCCUUCCUAUGGCCAUGCCUGUGGCAUAUGGAAGUUCCCAGGCUGGGGGUCAAAUUGGAGCUGCACCUGCCAGGCACAGCCACAGGAACACCAGAUCUGAGCCACAUCUGCGACCUACACUGUAGCUUGUGGCAAUGCCAGAUCCUUAACCCACUGAGUGGGGCCAGGGAUGAAACAGUCACUAUGUUGAGUUCUUAACCCAUGGAGCCACAACGGGAAUUCCUGGAGCCUCUUUUCUAACAGAUUUCUAGCAUCAUCCAGGCUGAUUGGCUCUUACUGACCCUCCAGUGUCAGCAUCAGCAACCCUUGUCUUCUCUGAUUAACAGUGUUGGCUCCAAAGUCCUGAAUCUUAUCACAUUCUACCACGUACAGACUGGGUAGCCUUGGGUGAGUUAUUCAGCUCUGCCAAGCGGGUUUAUAUAUAAACUGAGAAUAAUAACUGUACCUCCUGCUCAGAUUUGUUGCCAGGCUUAAGUGAAAGAAUGCACGUAAAGCCGCUGACCCGCUGCCUGGCACGUAGCACACAGUAAGUGAUGUAAUAAACCAUCAUUGCCUGAAGUUCUGGAAUGGCAGAGGGUGAGUGACUGGGAGGGAUGAUUGUGUCCUCCCAUUUGCCCCCUUGGUGGCUCCUCUUGGUUAAGAUUCCAGGGAGGGGUGGACAGCACUGGUGGACCACACUUCCGAGGUCCUGGAUGACCCUGGGCAGGCAGGAAGUACUCAUGAUUACGGGGGAUGUUGGCUGAUUCAUGGAUUAGGUGACUCAGCCUUCAUUGAUAGAAAGCCAUCUGUGUGCAGACAACAUUGCAAAAAGCUCCCUGGUUAUUGCUGAUGGAUGAAGGAUUUCCUUCUUUACCUGAAGGUGACAGGCAAACGGCUUGGGGACUGGAAGGAAGGUCAGCUCUGGACUCGCCAAGCUGGAGAGGGUUGGGGAGGGUAUCCUGUAGUCUUGAGGAAGGUGAGGUGAGGCAGCGGGUGGGGAUGGACAAGAGGCUGCCGCCACAAGUCCAGCCAGCCUGUAAUGCUCUCCACUUUGUUCCUGUCGGUGGGCGUCUGUCUUGCCUUGGCCUGAGGAAGCAAGGCCCUGCCAAAAGCACACGGGAGACCACAGUUAGGCGAUUUCACAUGUAAAGUGCCAUUCAGUUAUUUCUUAAAUAGGAGAGCAUGUGAGCCUCCAGGAGCACUAAAAACACCUCUCUUAAUCAUAACCUCGAGGAACAGCUAGUUUUAUGGCCCUGAACUUUCGUUUAUUUUUAUUUUUUUGCUUUUUAGGACCACACCUGUGACAUAGGGAAGUUCCCAGGCUAGGGGCUGAAUUGGAGCUACAGCCUAUUUCACAGCCUCAACAAUUCCAGGGCCGAGCUGAGUCUUUGACCUACACUGCAGCUCAUGGUGUCGCCAGAUCCUUAACCCACUGAGUGAGGUCAGGGGUCGAACUGGAAUCCUUAUGGAUACAGUUAGGUUCAUUACCACUGAGCCACAGUGGGAACUCCCAAAUAGAUGAGUUUUGGGGGUUUUUUUUGUUGUUGCCUAGAGGGAUAUGGAGCUUCUGGGACAAGGAUCAGAUCCGAGCUGUUAGUUUCUUUAUAUAAUGGGCAUACUUAUACAGACCCCCUACUCCUUGGAAUAAAGGAACUAAAUGUUCUUGUUUUUGCUUGGCCCCAAGGUUUGUGUGGGCAUGGGGGAUUGAGGAAAAGGAAAAACCCAGCAAGAAUGCUUAGGGGGAUUACUAAUUAAUUUUCUACUAAAAUAUGUCUUCAUAAAUCUUCCUAGACAAACAUUAUCAUUUUUAAAAGUAACUUGAUAAUUUUCUCUCUCUUUUUUUUUUUUUUUUGCCCAAGCAUGAGCUAGUUUAGAAAGGCGUUGAGUUGGAAUUCCUGUUGUGGCUAAGCAGUAAAGAACCUAACUAGUAUCGGUGAAGAUGUGGGUUCAAACCGUGGUCUUGCUCAGUGGGUUAGGGAUCCAGUGUUGCCGUGAGCUGUGGUGUAGGUCAUGGGUGUGGCUCAGAUCCGUCUUUGCUGUGGCUGUGGUGUAGGCCAGCAGGUGCAGCUCCAAUUUGAUCCCUAGCCUGGGAACCUCCAUAUGCCACGGGUGUGGCGCUAGAA
rnacentral:lncRNA from 1 species